CUACGGGCCGCUGCAGUGGGGAAUAUUGCACAAUGGGCGCAAGCCUGAUGCAGCCAUGCCGCGUGUAUGAAGAAGGCCUUCGGGUUGUAAAGUACUUUCAGCGGGGAGGAAGGGAGUAAAGUUAAUACCUUUGCUCAUUGACGUUACCCGCGGAAGAAGCACCGGCUAACUCCGUGCCAGCAGCCGCGGUAAUACGGAGGGUGCAAGCGUGUAAUCGGAAUUACUGGGCGUAAAGCGCACGCAGGCGGUUUGUUAAGUCAGAUGUGAAAUCCCCGGGCUCAACCUGGGAACUGCAUCUGAUACUGGCAAGCUUGAGUCUCGUAGAGGGGGGUAGAAUUCCGGGUGUAGCGGUGAAAUGCGUAGAGAUCUGGAGGAAUACCGGUGGCGAAGGCGGCCCCCUGGACGAAGACUGACGCUCAGGUGCGAAAGCGUGGGGAGCAAACAGGAUUAGAUACCCGAGUAGUC
rnacentral:rRNA from 1 species